ensembl:lncRNA
GAAAGACCAUGCUGUAUCAACACACAUAGUUGUACUUGGAGACCAUCCUUCUGCCAAAGGAAAAGCUGUCUAAAAUUGAAAAUUAAUUAUGGUUUCAGUUUAGCCUUCUCUUACUCUCCUUGUCUGUCUCUUGCUUUCUCACAACAACCUAAGACUGUACUUAGUAUCUGUAUUAAAAAUACUGCAAGUAUAAAGACAUGGAGAAGACUUAAGUAUUUCUCCAUGUACAUCUCUAGAUUAAUAGUUAAAACAUAGCAAAGUAUGUAGUAAAUUAAAGAUGUCAUGGAAAAAGUCUCCAAGAGCUUGACUUCUGCAGUCAUAUAGCAGGAGUUUUUUAUAGGUGAUUGACCCCACACCUAGUUUUAGCCACUCAGGGCUCAUGGAGAACAAUCAGUUUGAGUUGUUUGGUGUCACAGAAUGAGAUGAUAGAAGAGCCUGGCCUGGAAAAAAGUCUGGACACAUCAAUAAAAUUUAUUUCAAGGAGAAUAUAAGACACUGGGAAAACGAAUGCCUUCAGCUAAACCUACUUACUCCAUUUUGUUCUUUAAUGUGCUUUUUAGUGUUGCAUUUUGUUGCUGUCUUGAGUCUCUUUAUUUAUGCAUAUAUAAAUUUGCUUUAUCUGCCUUGACUUUCUAUUAUCUUUUUAGUUUGUUGAACUCACGUGUGAUAAGGAACAUGGUAUUUGCUAAUGCAAGAAACCUCCAGCUAUCCAGUAUAGGAUGCUGUCAGUAAAAGCGCCCUGGAAUGUGGUAGUCCAAAGGAUACAGGGUGGAGAAGCCAUGACUCAUUAUAGGCACCCUGUCACCUCAAUUAAUACAGCAUGCCCACCUCGAGCAAAGGAUGCUCUCAGUCCAAGGAAAGAUUCCAAUGGAUCUCUCUCUAAGUGUAACCUUGUUCUUGGGACUAAAGGAACUUAUGUUAUGCAAUGGAAUGAAUCUCUUGAUCCUUUGAAUGGAGAGAGGAAAAUACAGAAUAAUGGAGAGAGAUUUGGGAAGAUGGCAGCUCAAUUCAACCACCACUUGUGGUUGCUGGGACCAGCUGAGAAGAGGUCUGGUAGCAGAGAGCAAAGAAAGCCAAGGGCUCCCUUGGGCCUCUGGGUACAGAGUUAGAGCAGACUCUUCUCCUUUGGGAGCUAAAAGAAAUCCAAAGGAACAGUGUCUAAGACCUCUGGGUGGUCAUCCUAGCGAGGGACUGGCAAAAAGCUUUUCUGACCCAUAAAAGCAAAAAUGACGUCUGAUCAUUUGACUGCCUAGUCAUUGACUCAGGAAGAACAUGAUAAUCUAUCAAAAAUAUGAAAAAGUCACAAGACCUGAAUAGAGUCUCAGAAUCCUCUCCACCCUUAAUAUCAGAGGAUAUGAGCCUUUGAAUCUGGAAUAUUGAAGCCUCCCCACCAUCAAAUGUACUCUCCCCAUGGCUCAGAGGGUAAUGAAUCUGCCUGCAAUAUAGAAGGCCCAGGUUUGAUCUCUGAGUUGGGAAGGGAAUGGCCUACCCACUCCAGUAUUCUUGCCUGGAAAAUCCCAUGGACAACCAGCCUGGUGGGCUACAGUUUUCUGAGAUUGAAAAGAGUCAGACACGAUUGAGUGACUGACACUACAGCUACCAUUGAAUGAAUUGUUAUAUAUCAGAAAUCAAUAUCUAGAAUGUAUAAUUUAAAAAUACUUUAUUAACAAUGGAAGGAGGAGGAGGGUGUAGGGCAGGGGACAGAGAAGGAGAAAAACUUAACCUUUAU